ensembl:lncRNA
CAGAAGAAUCACAUAAACUAUUUAAAAAAAUUGCGGGGCCGGCCCCGUAGCUGAGUGGUUAAGUUUGCAGGCUCCGCUGCGGCGGCCCAGGGUUUCGCCAUUUGGGAUCCUGGGCACAGACAUGGCACCGCUUGUCAGGCCUUGUUGAGACAGCGCCCCACAUGCCACAAGCAGAAGGACCCACAACUAAGAAUAUACAAUUAUGUGCCGGGGGGCUUUGGGGAGGAAAAAAAGAAAAUCGGCAACAGAUGUUAGCUCAGGUGCCAAUCUUUUUAAAAAAAUCGUAUCUCACAGGUAGAAGUGAUGCGUAAGAAUCUGGAAACACUUUUCUCUGUGGGCCUGGGGCUAGUUUUCUGAGUCGUGUAUGAGGCUCUUCUUUCUUCAAUUUGAAAGAUUACAGCAGUUCUGUAUGUUAAACUUGUCUGAUAAACAACACGCUAAAUCUCUAAAUCUAUGAUCCUAGGAAAAAUGAGAUAAAGUAAGAGAGACUGUGUGUUUUGGUAAAUUAUACAGACAAUAUUAUAAAUAUUUUGCCUUGCGUCUCACAAAGACAUCACCUCUGCAAGGGCACACUGGCAAGCGUGUCUAGUGGGAAGAAACAUUUUCACUUAAUAAGGAUAAAUGAUUGUUAGGAACCGAAUAUUUGUGCCCCUCCCCCCCACCCGCCUCCCGCUCCUCGAGUUCAUACCUUGAGAUCCUAACCCCCGAUGUGAUGGUAGGAGGAAGUGGAAGUGGGGCCAUUGGAAGGUGAUUAGGUUAAGAGGGUGGAGUCCUCAUGAAGGGGAUUAGUGCCCUUAUAAAAGAGACCCCAGAGAGUUCCCUCACCUCUUCUGCCACGUGAGGACACAGUGGGAAGACAGUUGUCUACGAGACAGGCUCUCCCCAGACACCAAAUCUACUGGCACCCUGAUCUUGGACUUCCUAGCCUCCAGACGGUGAGAAAUAAAUAUUUUCUGUUUAAGCCACCCGGUCUAUGGUAUUUUUGUUAUGGCAGCCUGAAAGGACUAAGAUGAUGUAUACCUAUCACUGUUUUGUGAGCUGUGGGGUUCUUAUCUAACUUUUACAGUGGAUGACACCAAAGACUUAUGCUUAGGAAUAGUAGCGAAGAAUCCUAUUUCAGUGAAUAGCACCAUCAUGCAUCCAGUUUUCAAGCCCCAAAUCCUUUCAAUCUUGAUACUUUCAUCUCUCACACUUUCAUGUUCAAAUUAUCACAAAAAUCCUGUCAUUUUAAUGCCUGUGUAUCUCCUCUCUCCACCAAAACUACUCUAGUCCUGAAUACCAGUACCUCUCGGACUGCUCCUUAGCCUCUGGACUUUUCUAUCUUUUCUGUCACUCUUGCCUCAGGAUAUUCCAGUCAGAUCUUCACAAUAUAGCCUUGUGAUCUUUUUUUUCUUUUUUUUGAGAAAGAUUAGCUCUGAGCUCACUGUUGACAGUCCUCCUCUUUUUGCUGAGGAAAACUGACCCUGAACUAAUAUCCAUGCCCAUCUUCCUUUACUUUCUACUUUCUAUGUGGGAUGCCUGCCACAGCAUGGCAUGCAAGUGGUGCCAUGUCCGCACCUGGGAUCAGAACAGACAAACCCUGGGCCACCGAGAAGCAGAAUGUGUGCACUUAACCGCUGUGCCACUGAGCUGGCCCCAAGCCUUGUGAUCUUUACAAAAGGCAAACAUGAGCAUAUUAUUCAACACCGUGUUAUACCACUUACGAACUCCGCAAUUGAGACCCUUAUUCCUGGGAUAAAGUGAGAAACUCCUUAAGCUACAGCCAUGGCCCCUACCUCCUUCCCAGCUUCACGUGGCUCUGUGAUCCUUCUCAUUUUUCAGUCCACUCACACUGGCUUUCUUCCCAGUCAUAAAAUGGACCCUGCUCCUUCCCUUUGCAGAUGCUGUUCCCUCUGGAAAGUUUACUGUCUGCUCCUUGCCUCGAAUUGCAUUUCCUUCUAAGCAUCAUUCAGAAUUAGGUUCAAGUGAUGUCUCUGUUGAGGUGAAGUCCCUGAGAUAGCAGAGGGCACUCUCCUUCCUGGCUCUUUUCCCCAUUGCAGUUUCCACUUCUUUGUGUGGCUUGUGUAUUUUGUAGUUGUCACUUCUCCUGUACACUCGAAGUACCUGGACAGCAAGAGCAGAGGUGGAAUUUGCUCAUUGUUUAUCUCCAGUGCCUGGCACUUAAAAGUCACACAACACAUACUUAUUUUAAGACUCCAAGCUCCAUGAGGGCAGAGGCAAUGUCUGUAUUGUUCACAUGUGUAUAUCUGAUACCAUACACAUUCCUAGGAUGAGUAAAUACAUUUUCAAAGCACUUUCUCAUUUAUUUUGUUUGACUCUCCCAACUAUUUCUUGAGAUAAACAACUCAAGUUCCCACUCCUCGUGCAUUUGGCACUUCAUCUUGAACACAAUACAUCUCUAAAUCUAGUGCUUAUCAAAGGCAUUAAAUUAUGUUUUCCUGUCUUUCAAUUCAUUCUGAUAGUUUAUUAUUAUUUCAAGGCUUUUUUAUGCAUUGUACAAUUUGAGUGAGGAUCCCACAUCUCUUAAAGCAUUAUAGGUGUACAUUGUUCAUCCUUAUUCAGAGUUUUUCCCACUAGACAUGCCCAUGAAGGCUUUGUGGGACGCAUGGCAAACUAUCUACAGCAUUGUCUAUAUAACUUACCAAACCGUGUGGCCUCUCUAACUCAUUUUUCCUAAGACCACGGUUUUAACUGGUUGCUUAUCAGACAAGUUUAAUGUAUAAAACUGCUGUAAUCUUUCAAAAUGGAGGAAGAAGAUCCUCACACAUGUGACUGCAAAAAUUAGCUCCAGGCCUGGAGAGAGAAGUGUUUCCAGAUUCUUCUGCAUCCUUUUAGACGGAAGGGGUUCUUGAGCCUCACUAUUCUUCAUUUACAGAAUGAGGAUAUUAAUACCCACCUCACAGGGUUACUGUGAGGAUUAACGUGGAUAAAAUUAAAUGAAGCAAAGUAUGUGAGAAUACGUUCCAAAUCAUAGUUAAAAAAUGUGAAGUAUUCUUUCAUGGAUAGGUAUGGAGAUUGGCUAACGUUUAUUUGUUAGGUAACUCUUAUAAGGUAGAGGAUCAUUUCAAACUAUUUCCAAAUUUUACCUUUUCUCUUUCUCCCUUCUCCCCUCCAUUCUCGUUGUCCUUUCCCAAUGCCUCCUUCUUAGCCUGUUUCAAUAACUUUAUAACUCUACCCACUAAAAUCUCUCCUCUCUCCUCUCUGAUCCAUUUUCUUCCAAAGUCAUCUCUCUCAAACCUUUUAUGCUCUUUCCUACUUUAGAUUUUCUUCAAGACCAGUGACCUUCUUUGUUUGUUCUUUUUUUUGCAUCCAUCUCUAGUCUCUGGAAUAAAGUAACUCAGUAAUGUUUAUUUUUAGUUUGUUUAAGCAACAAAAUCUGGUGGCCAAGAGCAAGCUAUUCUCCAAAGUUGGACCCACCAUCCCAGUUGUUUAACUGAGAAAUAAAUGCUAUCCUGACUUACAAACUUCUACAUGAGGAAGAGAUGUCUUUUUCUAAUUUAUCUGGAGGCCCUGUGUGGACCAGCAGAAGCCAGUCCUUGUUGAUGGGGGUGGAGAAAAACAUCCAUCAGAGUCCUAACGGAGAGAGAUUAAAAGAUGAAGAAGACUUGGCUCCUGUCCUUUAGGUGCUUCUAGCCUCGUCUGGAGCUAGAUGUGUUGCAGUUCUAACGUUUAUUUGAAAGCAAUACUCCUGUUAUUGGUUUUGUCCAUUAUUGUGUGGCAGUGGCUUAAUGCCUAGGACUUGACUUCAGAACAAAAACAGCAGCGUACAACCUACCCUACCUUGAGGCAGCGAAGCAAAAGAGGCUGAAAGAUGGAAGCCGCUCGGUGAGGAUGCUGGUACGUGUAAAUGUUACAUUGUGUGUUUUGGUUGUUUAUUCUACCUUCUAUCUUUAACAGCCCAGAGUAAAGUCAAGAAACUUCACAGAUCCUGCUGGGAUUAGCCUCAGGUUUUAAGGACAAAGAUUAGUCAGGUUGACAACUGGCUGUUUUUGACAGAAUCUGUCAGCUCUAUGAUCAGCAAAAAUGUAAACUGAAGAUGUCUUCAGGUACAAAAAGAAAUUCCUCAAAGUCAAAGCUCAUUGGCUUUUAGACAAAAAUACAAAAUCCUCCAGAACUGUAUAGUUAAACAAAGCUUUUUUUUUAGAAAUAAACUUUGAAACUCAUGGAGGCUGUUUGAAGAUAAAAGAAGAGUUGUUUAUGAGCCAACGAUGAAAGUGUGUAAAGGGCCACAGGCCCUGUCUCCAAAGACAGUCAUAUUGAGCGAUCGGGCUUCAAAAUAUGAAUUUUAGGCAGGCAUAAUUCAGUCUACAGCAAGGGACGCUCUACAGAAUACCUGACCAAUACUCCUUAAAAGUAUCAAGGUAUCAAAAACAAGGUAAAUCUGAGAAACUGUUACAGUCAAAGAGGAGCCUAAGGAGACAUGAGCACUAAAAGUAAUCUGGUAUCCUGGACGGGAUCCUGGAGGCAAAAAGGACACUAGGAAAAUUAGCCCAUAGCUAACAUUGGCCACAAAUCCUCUUCUUUUUGCUGAGAAAGACUGGCCCUGAUCUAACAUCCAUGCCCAUCUUCCUCUACUUUAUAUGUGGGAUGCCUGCCACAGUGUGGCUUGAUGAGCCGUGCGUAGGUCUACACCCAGGAUCUGAACCAGCAAACCCUGGGCCACCAAAGCGGAAUGUAUGAACUUAACUGCUGCACCUCUGGGCUGGCCACUACAAACUAUUUUAAGAGAACAAAAGACGACAGAACAGAAAUACUGGAACAAUAGAGAAUGGCUUCACUCAUCACUAUGUAUAGCACGGACAACAGAGGAGAACCGAAUUAUUGACAAAUGUACCACAUAUUACAGAUAGGAAAUUUAUAAUUGGAAAAUAAAUUCCUAAGUAUUGAAGAAACCAAGGAUAUCAUCAUAGACAAGAUGGGAAGUUCUGAUAUGGUUCUGCCUUUUUUCUGACCUAUUCCACGCUUUUUUUUCUGACAAACCACACAACAGCCCACACGGAGCUGAAAACUAGUGAUGGUGCCAUUCAUCUCAGAUUGGCUCAGAUUGCUCUUAAUUUGAUCCGCUUCUGAAUCCUCACUAGCUCUCUGACCUCAGAUGACUCAGCCUUUCCAGUGUGCACCCUGAUUGGCCAGCUUCAGUGGCUCAGUCCAUCUCAUUGGAGCAAAGCUUCUCUCAGACUCUCCAUCAGUGGCUGUGUGGGGGGCUGUCUGCCUGUUCUCUCUGCCUUGCCUGGGGAGCCUGCCUGAGAACUGCCCCACGGACGAUGCUAUUGCUUAUGAUUGGCUCUCCCAGCCUCUGCCUGCAUCUCUGGAUCUGGGACUCAGACAAGGAGAUUUAAAUACAUAAAGCUAAA